AGUGAACGCUGGCGGUAGGCCUAACACAUGCAAGUCGAACGGCAGCACAGUAAGAGCUUGCUCUUACGGGUGGCGAGUGGCGGACGGGUGAGGAAUACAUCGGAAUCUACUUUUUCGUGGGGGAUAACGUAGGGAAACUUACGCUAAUACCGCAUACGACCUACGGGUGAAAGCAGGGGAUCUUCGGACCUUGCGCGAUUGAAUGAGCCGAUGUCGGAUUAGCUAGUUGGCGGGGUAAAGGCCCACCAAGGCGACGAUCCGUAGCUGGUCUGAGAGGAUGAUCGGCGACACUGGAGCUGGGACACGGUCCAGACUCCUACGGGAGGCAGCAGUGGGGAAUAUUGGACAAUGGGCGCAAGCCUGGUCCAGCCAUACCGCGUGGGUGAAGAAGGCCUUCGGGUUGUAAAGCCCUUUUGUUGGGAAAGAAAAGCAGCAGGUUAAUACCCCGCUGUUCUGACGGUACCCAAAGAAUAAGCACCGGCUAACUUCGUG
rnacentral:rRNA from 1 species